UACGAAUGGAGCAAGCGUUGUUCGGAAUCACUGGGCUUAAAGCGUAUGUAGGCCGACAAGAAAGUCAGAAGUGAAAUCCCCGGGCUCAACCCGGGAACUGCUUUUGAAACUUCUUGUCUAGAAUCCUGGAGAGGUUGGGAGAAUUCCUAGUGUAGAGGUGAAAUUCGCAGAUAUUAGGAGGAAUACCAGUGGCGUAGGCGCCCAACUGGACAGGUAUUGACGCUCAGAUACGAAAGCGUGGGUAGCAAACAGG
rnacentral:rRNA from 1 species